CGAGUCUUAACUGGGCGAAUGAGUUGCAGGGUAUAGACCCGAAACCCGGUGAUCUAUCCAUGGGCAGGUUGAAGGUUGGGUAACACUAACUGGAGGACCGAACCGACUAAUGUUGAAAAAUUAGCGGAUGACUUGUGGAUGGGGGUGAAAGGCCAAUCAAACCGGGAGAUAGCUGGUUCUCCCCGAAAGCUAUUUAGGUAGCGCCUCGUGAACUCAUCUUCGGGGGUAGAGCACUGUUUCGACUAGGGGGUCAUCCCGACUUACCAACUCGAUGCAAACUGCGAAUACCGAAGAAUGUUAUCACGGGAGACACACGGCGGGUGCUAACGUCCGUCGUGAAGAGGGAAACAACCCAGACCGCCAGCUAAGGUCCCAAAGUCAUGGUUAAGUGGGAAACGAAGUGGGAAGGCUCAGACAGCCAGGAUGUUGGCUUAGAAGCAGCCAUCAUUUAAAGAAAGCGUAAUAGCUCACUGGUCGAGUCGGCCCGCGCGGAAGAUGUAACGGGGCUAAACCAUGCACCGAAGCUGCGGCAGCGAACGUAUCACUUAAAUUUGUUUGAGUGAAUAACGAUUGACGGAACGAAGUGACGUCAAUGCGUUAAUGAAAGUCGAGGCGAAAGCACGACAAAGCGAAUUUAAGGAUACGUUCGUUGGGUAGGGGAGCGUUCUGUAAGCCUGCGAAGGUGUACUGUGAGGUAUGCUGGAGGUAUCAGAAGUGCGAAUGCUGACAUAAGUAACGAUAAUGCGGGUGAAAAACCCGCACGCCGGAAGACCAAGGGUUCCUGUCCAACGUUAAUCGGGGCAGGGUGAGUCGACCCCUAAGGCGAGGCUGAAAAGCGUAGUCGAUGGGAAACGGGUUAAUAUUCCCGUACUGGUGGUAACUGCGAUGGGGGAACGGAGAAGGCUAGGUUGUCCGGGCGACGGUCGUCCCGGUUCAAGCAGGUAGGCAGAGUGAUUAGGCAAAUCCGGUCACUUAAUGCUGAGAUGUGAUGACGAACCACCAAGGUGGUGAAGCAAUUGAUGCCCCGCUUCCAGGAAAAGCCUCUAAGCUUCAGGUUACCAACAAUCGUACCCCAAACCGACACAGGUGGUCAGGUAGAGAAUACUCAGGCGCUUGAGAGAACUCGGGUGAAGGAACUAGGCAAAAUGGUGCCGUAACUUCGGGAGAAGGCACG
rnacentral:rRNA from 1 species